CCUACGGGGUGCAGCAGUGGGGAAUAUUGGACAAUGGGCGAAAGCCUGACCCAGCCAUGCCGCGUGUGUGAAGAAGGCCUUCGGGUUGUAAAGCACUUUCAGUGGGGAAGAAAGCCUUGGGGCUAAUACCCUCGAGGAAGGACAUCACCCACAGAAGAAGCACCGGCUAACUCCGUGCCAGCAGCCGCGGUAAUACGGAGGGUGCGAGAGUUAAUCGGAAUUACUGGGCGUAAAGCGCGCGUAGGCGGUCUGAUAAGCCGGUUGUGAAAGCCCCGGGCUCAACCUGGGAACGGCAUCCGGAACUGUCAGGCUAGAGUGCAGGAGAGGAAGGUAGAAUUCCCGGUGUAGCGGUGAAAUGCGUAGAGAUCGGGAGGAAUACCAGUGGCGAAGGCGGCCUUCUGGACUGACACUGACGCUGAGGUGCGAAAGCGUGGGUAGCAAACAGGAUUAGAUACCCCUGUAGUC
rnacentral:rRNA from 1 species